GGAAGGAUCAUUAACACGUUAUCCAACGUAACUACCAACGCGCAAUGUUUUCCCCUCUCUCCCGUUGCCUCACAUGUAUCGGCCAAGUGCGCAGAGAAAUUUGGAGGGACGAGGCUUCGGCUGAGUCUUCUCUGGCACCGACACGCUUGCGCAAGCAAGUAAACGAUAGUAGUGAGCCGCGGCUAUCGCUGCACUGCUGGAAAUCUCCACCAAGAUUAUGAGCAGUGUGGCACAAAUAAUAACAAUUUUAACCCCGUUUUUGCUAGUUGACUUUUUAAUCUGUUGAUGUUCUCACUUAAUUGCGAGGCUCAGCACGUUUGAUCUAAUUGAACGUUAAAUAAUACAACUCUUAGCAAUGGAUAUCUUGGUUCUCGCAACGAUGAAGAACGCAGCGAAAUGCGAUACGUAAUGCGAAUUGCAGAAUUCAGUGAAUCAUCAAAUCUUUGAACGCAAAUGGCGCUCUUGGGUAGCCCUAGGAGCACACCUCUCUCAGUAUCGGUUCAACAACCGCUCAGCAGCGUGCUUGAUUAACUUCAGGCAUGUGUGGCUGGAAAAUGAGAGUCUGAGUGCUUGUCAUUCAGUCUCUUGAAAUACAUCGAGUGUGCAUACGACUCUCCGGUCAACGACUCGCAGCUUCGGCUGCAGGUCUAGGCGGUGUCGGACUGUUUCUCAUCAGUGACGUGAAUACUGACCUCCGGGUCUCUCGUUUACGUGUAACUGGUUUGGAAUAUUUAGGUCCGGGAUAGCUGAACGGCAGAAUCGGAGUAGUGCAUACGAGCCCCCCCAUAUGAUUGUACGCCUUCGGGUGCAUGGUCUGAAUUUUGAUCUGAGAUGAAGUGAGACAACCCCCUGAAUUUAAGCAUAUUAAUAAGGGGAGGAAAAGAAACUAACAAGGAUUCCCUUAGUAACGGCGAGUGAAGCGGGAAGAGCUCAAUUUGAAAAUCGAUUACCCAAACGGGUCAUCGAAUUGUAGCCUAUAGACGUACUAUCAGCUGGAACCUGGGUAUAAGUUCUUUGGAAUGAGGCAUCAUAGAGGGUGAGAAUCCCGUAGAUGACCCAAAGCUUUCAGCGUACGAUGUAUGUUCAUCAAGUCGAGUUGUUUGGGAUUGCAGCUCUAAAUGGGUGGUAAGUUUCAUCUAAAGCUAAAUAAUGGCGAGAGACCGAUAGCGAACAAGUACCGUGAGGGAAAGAUGAAAAGAACUUUGAAAAGAGAGUUAAAAGUACUUGAAAUUGCUAAGAGGGAAGCGCUAAAAACCAGUGAUAUGCUGUAUCAAACGCUCUUCGCCCCUGUAGGUCGUGUUCACAGUUGGUAACUCUGUGUGCGCGCUCGAAAGGGAGGCGAGGGGUUUCCUGAUGCGGUGUGAGUCAAGAUCCAUUCGGUGUGUGGGAGAAGGUAGCGAGAAAGGUAGGAGGUUCGCCUCUGUUAAGUCUUGUUACUCUACCACGCGCUGGAUGGAGGAAGAAAUGGUGCGCCGCUUGCGGCUUGGCCCUGCGUCUCUGCGGUCUCAUCUGUUGUUCAGAGCAAUGCUCUGUCGGUGGAGAAAGGCUGUACUGGGCGUAGCGGUUCGAUGUGCCAUAACGAUCUUGUACGAAAUGGUUUUUAUCGACCCGUCUUGAAACACGGACCAAGGAGUCUAACAUCUAUGCGAGUAUUUGGGUGCAAAACCCUGAUGCGGAAUGAAAGUAAAGGCAGGCUUGUCCUGCUGAGGUAGGAAUCCGGCAACGGAGGCACUAUCGACCGAUCAUCACUUGUGAAAGAUUUGAGUAAGAGCAUAUCUGUUGGGACCCGAAAGAUGGUGAUCUAUGCCUGAACAGGGUGAAGCCAGGGGAAACUCUGGUGGAGGCUCGUAGCGAUACUGACGUGCAAAUCGUUCGUCUGAUUUGGGUAUAGGGGCGAAAGACUAAUCGAACCAUCUAGUAGCUGGUUCCCUC
rnacentral:misc_RNA from 1 species